CCUAGAGUACUCUUUUGGGGGCAGAGUACUCUCUGACUAGUAACUCAGAUGCUAUAUGAUGAAAAGGAAAUCUUACUAUUACAAUUAUGUCAAAGUUUUUGAAUAACAAAAGGCGUCUAAAGAGUAGUUGUAACCCCAAGUUAAUCAAAUUCAUACACAAAUCAUAAAUAAAUAAAAAAUCCUAAUUUAGAUUUAAUUUUUUUGUUCUCUAAAAGAUAUUACUUUAAAUUAUGUCUGUUCUUAUAUGUUUUCCUGUUUGUCUUCCCUCCAGUAGUUACUUCAAGUUGAAUGGUUUUUCUUUAUAAUAAAUACUUAAAGUUGUGAACAUCUAGGUCCACACAAGAUUCAAGGGAUUGAUGCUGGUUUUGUCCCUGAAGUAUUGGAAGUUAGCCUUGUAGAUGAAGUAGUUCAAAUAUCAAGUGAUGAAGCAAUAGAAACCGCAAAGCUUCUUGCACUUCAAGAAGGCCUAUUUGUGCUGGUGCGAGUACAUCAACUGCAAGCCCGAGUAAGUUAAUAAUGACCAAUAUUGCCAUUAAAGACAAUAUGAAUGGUAUGUACUAAAUUUGCCUUUAUAUAUGAAUGGAGUGUAGAAAGUGGCAGAAGACCUAUGAAAUUGUUUUGGUUGGUUAGAAGAUCAAGAUAGCUUUGUUUCUUUGUUUUCUUAGUGUCCCUUUUAAGGACUUAAUUUCCUAUACUUGAUUUCAACAAUUAUUUAUUUAUUUUCUUUAUUUGGAAUUCUAAUGUUUUGUUUUAUUUUAAUUUUGGGAAUUUGCCCGUUCUUGAGGGUUCUAGAUGAUUAAAGGUAAUUGGUUAAUCGUGUUUUUUUUUGUCAUGUAAUUAGUAAGGAAUAGGCGGCUCUGUAGUGUGAAUUGUUUAGGGUUGUAGUUUGUGAUUGUGGGGGAACUUCUUGAGUUUGGUUCAAUUAAAAUGGGAAAAGAAAUCCUGAAACUUGUAGUUCCAUUGUAGCAACAACAUCUUUCUGGGGAUUGUGGAUUAGGCA